ACGCUGGCGGCAGGCCUAACACAUGCAAGUCGAGCGGUAGAGAGAAGCUUGCUUCUCUUGAGAGCGGCGGACGGGUGAGUAAUGCCUAGGAAUCUGCCUGGUAGUGGGGGAUAACGUUCGGAAACGGACGCUAAUACCGCAUACGUCCUACGGGAGAAAGCAGGGGACCUUCGGGCCUUGCGCUAUCAGAUGAGCCUAGGUCGGAUUAGCUAGUUGGUGAGGUAAUGGCUCACCAAGGCGACGAUCCGUAACUGGUCUGAGAGGAUGAUCAGUCACACUGGAACUGAGACACGGUCCAGACUCCUACGGGAGGCAGCAGUGGGGAAUAUUGGACAAUGGGCGAAAGCCUGAUCCAGCCAUGCCGCGUGUGUGAAGAAGGUCUUCGGAUUGUAAAGCACUUUAAGUUGGGAGGAAGGGUUGUAGAUUAAUACUCUGCAAUUUUGACGUUACCGACAGAAUAAGCACCGGCUAACUCUGUGCCAGCAGCCGCGGUAAUACAGAGGGUGCAAGCGUUAAUCGGAAUUACUGGGCGUAAAGCGCGCGUAGGUGGUUUGUUAAGUUGGAUGUGAAAUCCCCGGGCUCAACCUGGGAACUGCACUCAAAACUGACUGACUAGAGUAUGGUAGAGGGUGGUGGAAUUUCCUGUGUAGCGGUGAAAUGCGUAGAUAUAGGAAGGAACACCAGUGGCGAAGGCGACCACCUGGACUAAUACUGACACUGAGGUGCGAAAGCGUGGGGAGCAAAC
rnacentral:rRNA from 1 species